GGGGCAUUGACCGAAGAAAGAAGUCUGGACAUUUUUCAAUUGAAAAAGAUAAACAUAUAUCAAGCCAUCUAUCAUGGAAGCAAGUGUUCUAAGAAGAAUGCAAGCAAACUGGAGAAGAAACGUGUUGACAGCAGAAGUAAAAAAUGAUUAAAAUGUCCAUUGUAUAUGAAUGCUAGGAUUUUUUAACCAUGACAAACACACCAGAAAUGUGGUUGACAGAAGAAACAAGAAACAUGACACAAGCAAAGUGGCCUCGGGCAGUUAGAGAUGUGGCCAAAAAGAAGUCUCCAAAGCCAGGCAGAAACACCACCGCACCACGCACCACCAAUGCCCAUCGCUACCAGCGAAGCACGAACACCACCGCACGAAGAGAAAGUACAGGCACACCACCACACGAAGAGCAAGAACAGGCACACCUCCGCACCACACCACCGCACCAUCACGAAAAGCAAAGAUAGAGUUUGGAAAGUUUAGAAAAAAAGUCAGCGAGAAAAAAAGAGAGUGGAAGAAGAAGAGACGAAUCUCCGCUCAAAAUUUGGGGGAGGUGGGACUGUGAGCUGAGUAAAAAUAAGGGGGAGGUGGAGCUGAGGGGAAUAAAAGUAAGGGAUGAAGAGUUAGUCUGCCGAAUAACAUAAAAGUAAAAAAGUUAAAAAAAAAAAAGUAAAAAGAGCAAAAAGGUUAAAAAAGUAAAGAAAAAGGAUAUUAUUGUAAUAAGAAAAAAGAAACAUAAAGUUGGGGAGGUCGAGGAAGGAAAUUGGGAGGUGGAGGGAGUAACGCCCUCCAGAAAAAUUUGAAUCCGGUCCGACCCACCACGAGUUGGUGGGUAAACGGGUUGGCUCACUAGCCCACUUAAUUACAACUUUUUCAAAUAAAAAAAAAUUAUAAACUUUCUAUAAUUUAAAUCUAAACAAAUUUCACUUUCAAAUUUCACUCCCAACAUGGGUGUUUAAUUAAUUUUGAAAAUAAAGAACUUAAAUAAUUUUUUCAAGCAAAAGAAAU
rnacentral:lncRNA from 1 species